UUGGAGGGCAAGUCUGGUGCCAGCAGCCGCGGUAAUUCCAGCUCCAAUAGCGUAUAUUAAAGUUGUUGCAGUUAAAAAGCUCGUAGUUGAAUUCCGGGAUCAAAUUGUCGGUCGUGCCUCGGUACGCACUGGUAUUAUUGGUUCCUACCUUCUGAAGAACCGCGAUGUCAUUAAUUUGGUGUCGUGGGGAAUCAGGACUGUUACUUUGAAAAAAUUAGAGUGUUUAAAGCAAGCUAACGCUUGAAUACAUUAGCAUGGAAUAAUGAAAUAGGACGUUCGAUCCUAUUUUGUUGGUUUCUAGGAUUGACGUAAUGAUUAAUAGGGAUAGUUGGGGGCAUUAGUAUUCAAUUGUCAGAGGUGAAAUUCUUGGAUUUAUUGAAGACUAACUACUGCGAAAGCAUUUGCCAAGGAUGUUUUCAUUAAUCAAGAACGAAAGUUAGGGGAUCGAAGACGAUCAGAUACCGUCGUAGUCUUAACCAUAAACUAUGCCGACUAGGGAUCGGAUGAUGUUAUUUUUAAUGACUCAUUCGGCGCCUUACGGGAAACCAAAGUGUUUGGGUUC
rnacentral:rRNA from 1 species